UACGAAGGGGGCUAGCGUUGUUCGGAUUUAUUGGGCGUAAAGCGCGUGUAGGCGGCCACACAGGUCCGUUGUGAAAACUCGAGGCUUAACCUCGAGACGUCGAUGGAAACCGUAUGGCUAGAGUCCGGAAGAGGAGAGUGGAAUUCCUGGUGUAGCGGUGAAAUGCGCAGAUAUCAGGAAGAACACCCGUGGCGAAGGCGGCUCUCUGGGACGGUACUGACGCUGAGACGCGAAAGCGUGGGGAGCGAACAGG
rnacentral:rRNA from 1 species